CUUUUUUCCCCAUGUGUCCCUGGAUUUGGUUCACUUACUUAAAUUGACCUGAAGGAACUCCUCAUAACCAGUGGAAUAUUUCUGACCCUGGGCAUAAAAUAGUUACCAGAAAUCAAACUCAGGACCUUGUGCUUGACAGGCAGGAUUUCCUUUAUUUCAGAAGAAUAACUUUGCUGCACUGAUUGCUGAUACUUCUCCUCUUCAGAAAGCUCCUCAGCUGCCAUUCUCUGUUCCUCAGCCAGAAGUUGCUGAAGUUCCACUGUAGAGAAUUCCUCUGAAUGUUCCUCCACAAAUUCCUCAACAUCACCUGCACCUCAACGUCUACCUGCAAGACUUUGGAAUCUGCUAUAGGGUCUCAGAGUGAUAAACCAAGAGAGGCUUUAUAAUGAAGUUACCAACUGCAUUGGCACAUAGCAGUAAGUUUAGCCUAUCCUCCACAGGCUUGUGGCCUGUCAUUUUCUUCUCUUUCUGUGUAAUGUUUUCUGGUCAUUUUCUUCCAGAAAAGGCAAAUUUCAUCAAAGUUGAAAACUCGAUGACAGCAAAAGCCAUUUCUCUG
ensembl:lncRNA